rnacentral:rRNA from 1 species
UACCAGACUCCUACGGGAGGCAGCAGUGGGGGAUAUUGCACAAUGGGGGAAACCCUGAUGCAGCGACGCCGCGUGGGCGAAGAAGUAUUUCGGUAUGUAAAGCCCUCUCAGCAGGGAAGAAGAAAUGACGGUACCUGAGUAAGAAGCACCGGCUAAAUACGUGCCAGCAGCCGCGGUAAUACGUAUGGUGCAAGCGUUAUCCGGAUUUACUGGGUGUAAAGGGAGCGUAGACGGCAGAGCAAGUCUGAAGUGAAAGCCCGCGGCCCAACUGCGGGACUGCUUUGGAAACUGCCCGGCUAGAGUGCUGGAGAGGUAAGCGGAAUUCCUAGUGUAGCGGUGAAAUGCGUAGAUAUUAGGAGGAACACCAGUGGCGAAGGCGGCUUACUGGACAGUAACUGACGUUGAGGCUCGAAAGCGUGGGGAGCAAACAGGAUUAGAUACCCGUGUA